CUCAUUGACAAGUUUGAUGAACAUGAUGGUCCAGUGCGAGGCAUUGACUUCCAUAAGCAGCAGCCACUGUUCGUCUCUGGAGGAGAUGACUAUAAGAUUAAGGUACAGAGGGUCUGUCAUAACUGAGAAUAAAGGAAAGAGGAUGUGGGAAGGUUUGGGAAUCAUGAAAGGAACUGAAAGACAGGAAAUUUCAUUCAUACAGAGCUCAGGCCUUUGACAACAUUAUCCGGAGAACUUACUCAGCAAACAUUUAUUGAAUGCUUACUGUGUACCAGACACUGUUUUCUUUUUAGGGAAUUCAAAAAUAAAUAAGAAAUGGCUUCUGUUUUCAAGGAGCUUUUAUUCUAAUACAGAAGAUAAACAUAUAUCCAAGUAAUAGCAUGUACAGUUUGGUAAGCAAUAUAAUAGAGAGAUAUUCACAGUGAAAUAGGAAAGAGCAGUAUAGGUGCAAAGACAAAAAGCAUGACACAGCUAGAUACAGGGCAGCUGUUAUUGGUUUUGUAUGGAGAAAACCUGGAGAAAUGGUGAGAGAAGGGGCAGAAGAUGAGAGGGGCCAGAUCAUGGAGUACCUGUU
rnacentral:lncRNA from 10 species